GCUCCGUUAGCUCAAUGGUAGAGCGUGUCCAUAUCUUUGUCUCUCUCUCUCUUCCGUGUCCUUAAACCUGAAACCUUCUUUCCGCUCCAUUCCUAGAACUCUAUGGAAAGAUACUGGUUCGAAUCUAGUACGGAGCA
rnacentral:tRNA from 1 species